UUUCCAUCCACAUUCCACCUGCGGCCGCCGCUAUCAUCCACAUUCUCGACUCUCGUCAGCCUUCACGAACACCACAGAUCGAUCUGCGGCGUUCGUUUGGUUUGGUCUGCGAUGUGCUUCUUCGUGUUUGUUUUGCUGUUCUCUUUCGUUUUUUUAGCUGUUUGGUUUGGUUUGGUUUGGUGAUCUGAGGAUGGACGCCGGCGAUGAGGAAGAACAUGGUUCGCUCGUCUGAACGGUUCAUUUUCAACUGCAAAUUCAGAAUGUACUUAAAAACAUCAUUACGCAAGAGACACAAACUCUCUAGAAUGGCACACAUAUCAUUACAUCAAGUUUAGUAGAAAGCUACAUCAUAUGAUUGAGGACCAACACUUAACCUGCGAUUGCAAGUUGCCCUCAAACAAGAUCAGGGCAACGCAAGCAACGAAGGAGAUGGCAAAAAA